rnacentral:rRNA from 1 species
CACAUGCAAGUCGAGCGGUAGAGAGGUGCUUGCAUCUCUUGAGAGCGGCGGACGGGUGAGUAAUGCCUAGGAAUCUGCCUGGUGGUGGGGGAUAACGUUCGGAAACGGACGCUAAUACCGCAUACGUCCUACGGGGAGAAAGCGGGGGAUCUUCGGACCUCGCGCCAUUAGAUGAGCCUAGGUCGGAUUAGCUAGUUGGUGAGGUAAUGGCUCACCAAGGCGACGAUCCGUAACUGGUCUGAGAGGAUGAUCAGUCACACUGGAACUGAGACACGGUCCAGACUCCUACGGGAGGCAGCAGUGGGGAAUAUUGGACAAUGGGCGAAAGCCUGAUCCAGCCAUGCCGCGUGUGUGAAGAAGGUCUUCGGAUUGUAAAGCACUUUAAGUUGGGAGGAAGGGUAGUAACCUAAUACGUUGCUACUUUGACGUUACCGACAGAAUAAGCACCGGCUAACUUCGUG